GUUCGUUUAGUUUAGUUUCGUUCAGUUUUCGCUCUUCUCUUCUCCUGUUCUCUUUUCUCUUGGUACAACAAACAAAAUAAAAAUACAACGAAACCAUCAACAACAAAUCGCGAUCAACACACACUACGCGUUUAUAUGUGCUCUCACAUGUGGUGCGCGCAUCGACGGUGCGAGCGUCUGCCAGUGUCGUCGCCGUCGCCAGCGGGCGUCGUGAAUUGUGCGCGCAGCGUGCGAUAACACGCCAACGCCGCCAGGAUGCCGCGCUGCCUGAUGGCGAAGAAGUGGAAGGCGUACCCGUGGCCAGAGCGGCCCAACGAGGCGCCCGCUGCUUCUACCACCACGACGGCAACUGCACCAGCUGCAGCAACCACGCAGGAUGAGGACGACGAGGAGAUUGAUGUCGUCGGCGACGCUACGCCGAACGCGUGCUGGGCACCUUCCAGUCCUACGGCUGGCGCGACUGCACCCAGUCCGCCGCCGACGUCGCCGCACGGAACCACUCUCUUAUACAAUGGCUACUUGCAAGAGCUCUCGCCGACUAGCUACACGUCCACGUUUAUAACGCGCGUCGACCAUCCGACGACUACCAGCGGGAGCGGGCAGCAACCACCCCAAACGUACGCAACGUUGCGCACCGUCAACGAAACGCAAGACCUCCGCGCUGAGUACAGCAGCCCGCAACCUGCUAGUGGUACGAAUACAAGAGGCAAGAAAAGUCUGGCGAUGUGCUUUACGAGUACGGGAGCAGCGUUAUCGCUGCCGCCGAAAAAGAAAGACAUUUAUCGGCCGUACUCACUGGACGACAAACCCUCGCCGCCCGCGUCGCUCAUACGCGUACCUGCCGAAGAAGACCUACAUGCCGCUCACGCGAUACUUGACUUGAGCGCGUCAACGACGGUUUUCAUGCCUCCGCCGCCGCCGAUUGUUCAACCGGCGCAGCCAAUGGAAGAAGAACCCGUCGAUGCGGAGCACCCGAUCAAAUCGUCCAAGACUGUUGCUUAUACCUACGAGGCGUUUUUCGUGAGCGACGGACGCUCUAAAAAGAAGCAGCCGCCGCCCGAAGAAAUCGCCGCUGCGCCUACACCAAAAGCCAUCACAGGCGGAGAUAAACCCAAGUACACGUGCAGCGAGUGCGGCAAACAAUACGCCACCUCCAGUAAUCUUUCACGGCAUAAGCAGACACAUCGCAGUCUUGAUUCACAAUCGGCAAAGAAGUGCAUCACCUGCGGCAAGGCGUACGUGAGCAUGCCAGCGUUAGCAAUGCACGUGCUCACGCACAAGCUGGCCCACAAGUGCUCCGUCUGCGGCAAGCAAUUCUCGCGGCCGUGGCUCCUUCAGGGUCAUCUUCGCUCGCACACUGGAGAGAAACCCUAUGGGUGCGCGCAUUGCGGUAAGGCCUUUGCGGACCGUAGUAAUCUACGCGCGCACAUGCAAACGCACUCGUCGGACAAGAACUUUGAGUGCCCACGAUGCCACAAGUCGUUCGCGCUCAAGUCCUACCUGAACAAGCAUCUUGAGUCGGCGUGCCUCAAGGACGAAGGCCAUCUCGAAGAAGAGGGCGAGUUGCUGAGCGCAACGCGCGCACUAUCACCGGAGCCGAGUCUCGUCUACGCCGGCUGAGCACGAUCGACCACCGCCACCGCCUCCUACAACGCGAUGACCACACAAACGCAAACAAAAUAGAAGGCGAACAGUAAGGGAAGAAAAGGAAAAAAACUGCGCUAAACUAGUCGCUUCUCCUAGUAUCUUAAAAGAUUCCUCUCUCUCCGAACGGGCCCACCCCGCGUCCGAGGGGUGGCGCGCAAUCUUGGCAGGCGCGUCACGUUUCGCUGGCAGCGCGCCCGGCGCGCCCGGAACGCGUCACGCCGCGGCCAAGAUUAGGGCUAUGAUUUAUACUUCGCGAACUGAAGCCUCCUCCUCAAACUCGCACCCACUUCCCACACCCACCAGGAAACAACCGCCACCCCCUUUGUAAAUAUCCCUCCCAGUGAGAUAACACAUCGCAACACGUCCACUAAGUUAGGGCCCCACGGGCAGUAGAUUUAAGGAAUAAAUUAUUACGACUCUAUUUAAACGCAAGAACAAACCAAACAACAAAAAAAAACAACGAAAGUGAGCGAAGGUUAUGUUAUAAACUUUUUAGGUGAAUUUCAAUUAAGACGCGAGUCGGCAAGGAAAACACAUUUGUUGCUCUCCUCGCCCUCGAGAUUGCAUGCAGGCCGAAAGCGUUCGGGCAAAGGGAAACGCAAAUACCUUUAGAACACCAUUUGGGAUUGUGUGUACAGUUUAAGAUGUUAUCGGGCACCCCCACCCAUAGUCUAAUUAAGUUAAUUAAAACGAGCGACAUUCCAAAAAAUGUUCACUGCGAACAAAAAGCAAAGUUUCACAAACAACGAAGUUAUGCAAAUAUAAAUGCUAGUAUUAUUAUAUAUAAAAAUAUAUAUUAUAUAUAUAUAAUAUAUAUAUGCAUACAUACAUACACUAAUGUACUAGGAUAAACAAAAAACAAAGCGGUAUUAAGUGAGAUUACGAUAAAAACAAACACAUGCGCAGUUUACUAAAGUUUUGUAGUAAUUGAUGCCUGUUUGUUUUAAAGCAAUACGAAAUUUUUAACGAAACUAAAAGAAGCAAUAUUUAUUAGGUAUUGAGCAACAGAUAGAAGUGUAGCGGAUUUUAAUUCGAUGAAAAUCUAGUCGCAAACAAACAAUAAACUAGUCCAUAGUUUUAACGUUUUAAACCGAAAAUACUUGAGAAGUAUUACAAUGCGCUAGUCCCGUCAUGAUAGUCAAUUAAAUUUAGUUACUUAGUUAAUUUUCGCGCGUCACUCACACACACACGUUUGGGUUGCAAGCAGAGCAAAGCAAAAAAAAAAAUCGAAAACAAAAAACAAUGAAACAAAUUAUAUUUAGGAAUUGCGGAAGAUUUUAUAAUAGAGUUUAUAAAAAUGAUUUUAAAAAACGAGACAAAAUACUAUACAAAGUAAUUGAUAACAAAAAUCAUUGAUAAAUCAACGAAAUACGCAAAGUUUCGGCCGUAUUUUUGCAUAAAUUGAAGAAACAAUAUUUAAACAACUAAAUUUUAAAACAUUACCAAUUAAGGCAUAUAGUAAAUAUUAAUUACGAGUAGUGUAUGAACAGCAAGUGAGGUGCAACGUGCGUAGUAGAUUAAUUUAUUGAUUGUAAUUUAUUUAUUUAUUUAAUUUAUUUAGGUGUACAUUGUUUUUGAAACAAUUUUCAGAGCCAGGCGAGUGUCAAACUAGUCAAAUACGCCGACGAAGACAUAAAUGUCAUGAGUGUAGGUGCCUUAGUUUUAAAACGAUGAAAUAAUAAUGCACAACGAAUCCAAACCAUUCAGUACAAGAUCUUUUGCGAACCUUCAACUUUUCUGAUCUGUUUUCUUAUCGCCUGGUGCGUUACCUUCACUUUAAAUCUCAAUUUUCAAUUUCUACGUACAAAUGCAACGAAUAAAACUAAUGAAAAUUUAAGAUUUGCAAAGUGUUUCAGUUUCUAGUCAAUAUUUACUAGUCAAUUAGUGUUCUUUUUUGCGGAAAAAUUUUUCGUUUUUUCAAACACUUUGCAGAAAUUUUCCUAUAAUCCAUACACCAAAUGAUAGCGAUUCGUUAAGUCCUCGUAAAGUAGUUGAUGCAAAUGCAGCAGCGCGAACUGAUAGUAUGCUAAACGAAAAAUGAUAUGCUAGGUGACGAAGACGAUUGAUUUUGGUAUUUUAGAGGAAUUUUCGAAUUCGAUAUAUAAGCAAGUAAGAGAAAAAAAAAACAAGAGAGUAAAAUAUAUUUAAAUUUAAUAUUUACUGGCGAACACAUCCCGGGUCUUGAACUUUCGCGGCAUUGGAUUCACAAUCAAAUGCGAGGUGCAGUCGGAAGAACGCGCGAUUUGCGAUCUUAUCAAACACAACGUUCAAUAUCAUCAAUAUACAACGAUCAUGUAACCAGUACAACGAAGAGUUAACAUUUUCUAAUGCGAUAAGCAAUAAAUGCAAACAAGCAAUAUUACCUACGUAAUUUAAUGAUUGAUAUAAUGAUGUACCUUCCGCACGUCAGUAUGUGUAUGUGUAUGUGUGUCACUAUUCGAAAAAGCAAUAUGGCGGCAUACGCCGAUAACGAAAAGCAAUACGAACAACAACGAAUCUUUAAAAAUUGAAAAAUCACUAAAACAACGCAACGAAUACAACGAAAAACGAAACACAGCAGGCAAACAACGCGAACGACGAUAUGCAAUCGAAUUUGCUGACGAUGACAACGCCCGGUAAGGAAAAAGUGCUCGGGAUAUGCCGGGUAUUCAAAAGCAAUAAUCACAGUAGUCGGGCCCGUGCGACGUCGAUCGAUGCAAUGCGAUCGCGCGCCGAGCGCGGUCCGAGGAACAUAGCAAUAUAGGAGGUAAGCGAUGAAGAAAAUUAACUUAAACGCAAAAAAAUAAAUAAAAAAAACACCGACGUUUAGACGUUUGCAGUAAGUAAAAAAGCAGAAAAAAAGAAAACACGUAACGAACAAAAAAAAGCAGUAGCAUUUAAGAGCAGAGUAAACUCUCGCUCACACUUGCACACCUUAGCGAGGUGUGAAGUUUUUCUAGCGAUGGCGGUGGCGUUUCGCCAGCGCGUGUUGUCAAUUUGAUUCGAAUCAAUUAGUUUUUAUCUAUUAUAGUCAAUUUUGUCUAGUCGAUUAUCAAGCGUCGAAACGCCGCCGCCGUGAAUAUUCGAGUCGAGUACAUAGUGUUUAGCGGCCUGCCUAUCGAUUAAUCUAAUAGCAAUAUAGAAUCAGCAAUAGACUUAUACAAUUAUGAUUAUUAUACAUGCAUAAAAAUUAUAUAAAAAUAUAUUAAUUAAUAUAAAUUAUACACUAUACAAAUAUAUUCUAUUUAAAAAAGAUAAAUACAACUAAACAAACAAAAACAAAAAAUUCUGAGGACGAGAUGAGGUUAUGUGAGUGUGUGGAGGAUGUAACAACACGCCACCAUGUGAGCAGCAGCGAACGAAGCGAAACGUUCCAGACAACCGGACGCAAAACAAAUUAUAAUCAAACUAACACGAUGCAUAGUUCGCCCUUAGGGCGAAUAAUAUGUUGUAUUAUGUGUUUUAAAAACUCGAACCUACCAACUUAUUAUAUAGUUUUAACUAAAGAUGAGAUGAAUAAUGAGAAAUAAAAAGUAUUGUAAGUAGCGAUUGAAAACAAAAAAAAACAUAACAAGUUUUAGACAAUUUAUUAAUUCAAUUAUUAUUACCGAUUGUUUUUGGCGAUUUAUUAAACGAAUAUUAAUAAAUAUUAUAAAAAUUUAACACAAUAAUAAUAUUUAAAAAACGCGAGAGACAUUGACGACAUUGAUCCAGAAUAACGAAUAACUAAUGUGAAGAAACAACACGCAUACCAAACAACAAUGGUUUUUAUUCGAAACGUAUUUUAAACUUGUCAUUUUUUGCGCCAAACCGCGCAAGCCUUGCCAAAAAUUAAGCGAAAGAGAAAACAUCAUCCUAAAUGUGAAAUUAUUUCUAUUUCAUUACGCCUACAACGUGUAUGUUUAACAAGCAAUUUUAAACGUUUUAAAAUACGACAGAAAUCGCAAAUUUUACAACAAAACGCUAUAAUGUACUGGAACAUGCAGAGCGCGCGUGUGAAGAACCGCAUAUUUUUUUGGACAAUGCCAAAAGAACAACUUCAUGUUACCUAACAGCAACUAAACACUGAAAAGAGGAAUCAUGCGCAAUAUGUCAAUAAAUAACAGUCAUUGUGACGCGCGAUGUUUUCGACAACAACACACAAAAAAAAAACCAACGAAACCUGCCGCUACGGCAUAGAUAGUGUGUCAGUCGAGUGUUGCGCGUUGCUGGAAGUUGAUUAAAACCAACGAGAACAUUUUAAACAAAUAUGUCUGUGUAAACUUGCAGUCCAGUAAUCUUGACCACAAUAUUUAUUAUUGUAUAACACUACAUAAUAUACGUUAUGACGUGUCACGUGUCAUCUUCAAAUUGUCGUCACAAAGCCGAGUGUUCCUUUGAUAUUGCAGUGCCAGUGGUGUUAAAAUAUCUGCGGCACUCUUCGUGCCUGGCAAUCCGAUAAGCUGUACACUGGCGAGCGGAUUGCGUCUCAUCAAUUCGAUAUCAGCCUCCAUCAUAUCCUUGACGAGCUCCGGGAACGUUACCCGCGGCGCCCAGUUCAGCUUCUUCUUUGCCUUCGACGCGUCGCCGAGGAGUUGCUCCUAUAUC